AAGCCCAUGGAAAGGGCAUAGUCUUAGCAAAUAUUUAUAACGCUCUCAUGCGUCAAACAAGGUCUCUCCUUCUUCUUGCCUAAAUUUGUUGAUCUUAUUCCUAACUU